AGCUUAAAGCAGUACAACGGUAGUACAAGAGUGAACUUUGUAUGUCUGUACAAGGUAUUACGGCUGUUGUUACCGGCCGAAAGAGAUUUUCUUCUUCUCGAAGUCACCGAAGAAGCGAAGCCAUGGGACGAACUGCGGCAGUAUUUCGCUUCCGGUGGUGCAGAAACUCAAAGGACGGGAGAAUUACGUGACCUGGACCUUUGCGAUGCGAAUAGUGAUGAUCCGUGAGGCACGCAGUAUAUUCCCCGGAAGGUGUUCAAGUCAACCAGGAUUUGUCGGACUUGGCAACCAUCUGCCUUCGUAUUGAACCGUUCCACUACAGCCUUGUCCAGCGGGCCAAGACUGCGAAGGAGGCCUGGAACAGUCUGAAAACGGCGUUUCCAGACUGCGGACGGUACCGGAAGAUAAACUUGCUGAAGAAGUUGACAAGGCUGGAGCUGGAAGAUUGUUCGUCAGUCGAGGAGUACGUUGACGAAAUUGGUUUCGUGUUCGAUGACGAAUGGUUGCUGCUCAUCGGCCUCCCAAAGGUUUACUAGCCACUCGUGAAAGUAAGUUCCAGAAGAAGAAGAAGGAUAAGUCCGGUGUAAAAUGUUUCAAAUGCGACAAGCUUGGGCACUACGCGUCCGAGUGCCAGGUGAAGCUGAAGUCGAAGCCCGAGAAAGGAUUCCACGGAAAGCAAACGGCUUUGAUUUGUUUGUUUAUUAAUUUAUUUGAUAAGGCUCAAUCGAAUUAUCUUUACAGAGCCGAGGAUUCUUGUUCACUACACAAUAUAUCUUAAAACUAUAGUCAAAAGGUACAACACAAUAAACAUUUUAUCUUCUGCUAUCCAAUAAGCCUCCUCCACCAGAACAGGAGCCGCUUCCAGUGGUUCCAUUGUAUGGCACUAUCGUCAACGGGGGUCAGAGCGCUUCCAUUGCAGCAAUGGACGCAAAACAUGGUCAGCACUCACACAUUCAUCACGAAACGGUUGCUUUCCAAAGUCGACGACGCAUCGACCUCGGCAUCAACUGAAAGAACUGCUGAGGAGGACCACACAAUGGUUGCUGCCGAGUAAACAGACGAUCGCGUGACACACAUUGAGAGUGAACGGCUUUGAUGGCGUGCAUGAUACCGAAGCUGGAGACGGAAGACUGGAUUUUGGAUGCAGGAACAGGACGGCACAUGUGUAAAUCCGAGCAAGCGGUUAUCAAUCAGAAAGAUGUCUCGGAGAGCAUUUUUGCGGCCAAUUCAACCGAUGUUCCUGUUCCGGCCGUCGGCAGCGUCAAACUGGAUGCCGAUGUAAAAAGUAUGUGCAGUACUCUAGAUAUCGCUGAUGUUCUGUUCGUUCCAGACCUAGCGGUCAACCUGCUUUCGGUGAGCCGUAUUUGCAAGAAAGGGUACCGGAUCAAUUUCUCGAGGAACUUUUGCGAGGUAGUCAACGAGUACCAUCGGUGAGAUCAUCCCUAACGGUACGGAGGUGGAUGGGCUAUACAAGCUGAAGCAGGGCAUUCAUGGCAAAACCCUGGGAGAACCUGGAGUUGUGGCAUAAAUGGUUCGGCCACCUAAAUCUGGCCGUCAAUGGUUGCUGGGAUCGAGAACGAGCAUCGAGUGUGCUGUAGGUAAGCACCUCAAGCAAUCGUUCAAGUCGGUGAGUAGGCGACACACACUUACUUCCUGAAAUCCAAAGCUGAGGCAUUUGAUGCGUUCGUGGAAUUUAAAGCGUAUGUCGAGAAGCAGACAGGCAAAUCUAUGAAGCGGAGUAUGUCGGAAAUAAAUUCGAGCAGUUCUUGAAGGUAUGCGGCAUCCGUAACGAGACCUCGGUUGCCUACAAUCCGCAACAAAACAGACUUGAGGAAAGGAUGAACCGGACGAUCGAAGAACGCCCCAGAUGUUUGCUCUUCGAUGCUGGAUUGGACAAGCGGUUCUGGGCUGAAGCAACCUCAACGGUGGUGUACUUGAUUAAUAGAUCGCCAACAAAAGGUAAUAGAAUCACACCAAUUGAAGAAUUCACUGGAACGUAGCCAGAUGUUUCAAAUCAACGAGUUUUCGGAUCGGACAUUCAUCACUGCGUUCCCGUCACACGAAAAGGAAGAAUAUGUUGGAUCGCAACACGAUUCUGGGCAUAGUGGCUUGGAGUAUGCAUCCGCAAUCCUCUACUCCACAGAUUUCUAGCGAACGCGAUACGCUUCAGCAAGCAUUGGAACGACCGGACCGCGAUGACUGGAUCGGUGCAAUGGAGGCCGAGCAUCGGUCGUUGUGCGAUAACGACACAUGGGACCUCGUCGAUCUACCGGCGGGACGGAGAGCACUCAAAAAUAAGUGGGUGUAUGCGCUGAAGACGGGUCCGGAUGGCUUCAUCGAACGACAUAAGGCCCGACCGGGAUUAAAGGGUAUUCCCCAGUCAAACGCGAGCAUUACGACGUCACGUAUUCUCCGGUGGUACGGUAUGCAACCGUGCGCUACCUCUUGGAAAUUGCGGCCAAAUACGAUCUGCUGGUGUGCCAUAUGUAUGCGGUGACUGCAUUCUUGCAGUGUAAACUUUAUGGAGAGGAGAUCUACAUGGAUCAACCGGAAGGGUUUCGGGACGCGCGUGCACCGACGAAGGUUGUACGGGUUGAAGCAGGCGAGCCAUGUCUGGAACCAGAAGGUGAAUCGGAAACUCAAGGCGAUUGGGUUCCAGCGAUCUAAAUAUGACUCCUGCAUGUACUUCCGGUUCGGCAACGGAAAGGUGAUUAUCAUUUCUGUCUAUGUGGACGACUUUCUACUGUUUUCCAACGAUCAAGCGAGUUCCAAAUUAAGGACCUGGGGGGCGUCAAGCAGAUCUUGGGACUGCCGGUCAACCGAUCCGAUGCCAUUGUAGCCAUAGACCAGGAGCAUUAUAUUGACAAACUUCUGCAGCGAUUCCGGAUGGAGGGAUCCAACUCCAUAUCGUCACCCCUGGACGUGAACCAAAAGUUGACGAAAGUGAUGCAACCCGAAUCUGUGGAAGAGAAAGAGAAGAUGAGAAGCACUCCGUUCAAGUAACUCUUCGCUGGUUUGCAGUGUGUGGCGCAAAGCACUCAGUCAGAUAUCAACCACGCGGUGAGUGUCGUCAGCAGCUUCAGCCAUGAACCUGGAGCAGCUGGUGUAUCGGGCCGACUGCGAGCAGAACUUCCAAGCAUACAGCGAUGCGAAUUGGGCGAACGACGUCGAAACUUAGCGUUCCAUUACCGGCUACGUGUUCCUGCAAAGUGGAGCUGGAAGAGGCAGUCCACCGUCGUACUUUCCACCACAGAGGCUGAAUAUAUGGUACUCUCUUCUGCCACCGUGGAAGCGGCAUGGUUGAGGGGAUUCCUGCAAGAGCUUCGCGGUGUUGAAAUUUCCGUUUCGAUCAACUGCGAUAACAAGAGCGUUAUAAGUCUCGCGGAGAAGGAUAUCGGCUACUCUUCAAGAAGCAAGCAUAUCGACAUAAGGCAUCAUUAUGUACGAGAUCGAUAACGAUUAGAUUGUAAAGCUAUUACAUUGAAUUAUGUCCCAUCAAUCCUUCAGGCAGCAGUUAUCUUCACGAAAGCACAAGCGAACACAAAGCUGUUUGAAGAUAGAAAAAUGUUAGGAAUUCAGGAUUUCCCGCUAAAAGGGGCAUGUUCGAACAUAGUAAGCGUUGAAAUAAUUGUUCAAUCAAACUUCAUUCGUUACUUGCACUCUAUCUUGAGUAGACGCUUCUAUCAAUUUGCCACUUCCCCGGGGGUACCGGAACAUGCCCGGAAGGGCUAGUGUGACUGUGGACUGUCAAUAAGGCCAUGAAAGUUGUUAUGAAUUCAAUGGCUGCCAUCUUGGAUUUCAAAAUGGCAGCGGACAUCGAUUUCAAUCAUCUACAUGUCAUCUCCGUUUCAAAAAGAACGCGUAUUUUUUCUAAAACCAAUGGCCACCAUCUUGGAUUCCAAAAUGAUGGCAGAAGUAAGUUUCCUACAUCUGCAUGUCAUCCCAGUUCCAAAAAUAUCAAUAUUGUAGAACAUUAACAGUUUUUUUUUCUCUAAAUCGAUGGCCACCAUCCUGGAUUUCUAAAUGGCGGCGGACAUCGAUUUUCGAUCUACUGUUCCGAAAAUACUCAUUGUCUUGCAUGGGGAAUUUUCAGUGACAAAACUUGAUGAUGAUGAUCGGAGAUUAUCGCUAUUUCAUAUGAUCGUGACCUGUAACACAAAUGAUAAUCGCAUUAUCGGUUCCAGAACUGUCCGUUGUGUUUUUUGGGUUUGUACUGAUCAUGAGUGUAACCAAAAUGAGAAUGACUUUAUCUUUAUCUGAAUCGUUGAUUUCGAUUCCCGCUACACUACAGGUUUGGUCAAGGGGUAAGUCACUCAGCACAUUGUGCCGAAAUUAGAUUCGACACAGCUUGGGCACACCUUCGGCACAAUUUCGUAGGCAUUGGAUUGCUGUAAAUAAAAUGGGAGCACUGCUGGACAACUUUCAUUGAAGUUGUUCACAACAUUCCGUGCUGUUUGACUGAUGAGGAACUCAGACCAGCAGUUCAAUGAUAGAUCUAAAUGCGAAAUGUAGGUUCUAGAGUGGGCUCAAGAAAAAGAGGCAGUUAAUCACACCCCAUUAGUACCCUUAAUUCAAAUAAUGCUGCAAAUCACACAAAAUAAAUUAAAGAAGUCUAUUCAUCAUCCUCUAUAGUCGGUCUCCUAUAAUGCUUCCCACUGGUUCCAACUCUUUCCGGCCGCUUAUAGACCGAUGCAUUUCACAUCACAAAAAGCUAGGUUUUGGUCUGCCUUUGAGGGCAUUAUAAAACACUAAAAUACAGAACUUUUAUCACCCUAUGAACAUAAAGCACCAACAUUUCGCACACCAGCCACUUCCCGCGUCAUCCACAACCCGGUUUAUCCUUGCUUGAAAAACCAAAACAUUCAAAGUGUCAGAAAUACCGGGUUGCCAGGAUUUUACAAACAAUCGCAGCUUGCUCUAUGACCGGCACACCUGCAGCGCACUUGCGGCACACUGACAAACAAGAUGAACCAAGAUUGGUGUGCGGAGUGACCUACCCCUUGAGUUUGGUUCUUGUAGAGAAAUAGCCGCUUUCUCUGGGGCACCGGAACUAUUCCGGGAUGAUCAAUGUGAUCAUGGAUCAUCGGUAAGCCGUAAAUGGUCCAAUUACAUAAUUUGAGUGAGAAAAUAUUAAAUCUAUGCAAAUUUAGACGUUAGACCCGCAAAGGUUAAUGAUUACCAUGGUUUCCAUAGUUACACAAAAGAACUAUAAGAGUUGAACAACGCAGCCAUUGAGCCAAAAGUGAAUAAUUUGAAGCACAAGUUCUUGAACGCUAUUACGACCUAAUCAACAUUCAAAUGUUUUCGGACCACCUUUUUACCCCUCCAAUAUACCAUUCCAUCCGAGAUUUUAAUUUAAUUCCGAUCGUAGAGUUGUAUGCUCCUUCUGUAUUUGUAUUUGUAGUAUAGAAACAGUUUAAAGCAGUAAAUUCCAUUUGCGAGCGCGUUAUCCAGUAACACGUCUCCAUUCAAUCAACCAACCAACAUAAACAGACAAAAAAAAAGACAAAGAUUAGAACGCGUAACCAAUCAAUUCGAUGAAGAGAGAAAAUCAACCGAUGUGAACAGAUAAAACUAGAAACACACUCUAAACUGAAGAAAAAAGAAACACAGAGAGGAAGAGAAAUGAAAGCAAGAAAAAAUGAAAUAUAAUGUUAUUCAAAUGUUAUUUCAAUCACUGUUGAAAUGUUAGAAUAAAUUUAAAUAAAACCAAAAA